UGCCAUCGAGGCCGGUCGCCCCCCGUGGCGUUCCGACUCGGACUUUGGAUGUGCUGCCGGACGGCGACGACCGGCUCAUCCCAAACGCAUUAGCCAGACCUUUUUCGGGGCCUUCUUUCGGUUCUCACUCGGCGUGAUAGGAUCGCCCGUCGAGGAACGAGAGGGGCGCCCCCGGCUUCCAGACCGCGCGUCUUUGCGCGACCUUUGACC
rnacentral:misc_RNA from 1 species